GGAGCUCACCCCGGGGAUUCGAACCGCCAACCAUUCGAUCGGCAAGUCCUAGGCACUGAGGUUUUACCCACAGCGCCACCCGCGUCCCUUCUUUGUAAUGGUAAUUUGCCUUAAACUCUUUUUAAUGCUGUAUUUUAUAUUGCUGUAACCCUCUCUAGACUGGGACGCGGGUGGCGCUGUGGGUUAAACCACAGAGCCUAGGACUUGCCAAUCAGAAGGUCGGCAGUUUGAAUCCCCGUGACGGGGUGAGCUCC